AACGCCUCCCAUCAUCUGUGUACAUGACACAGUGGCCCCUGGCCGGUACUGAAUUGCAGCAGUCUUGAUCUUGUUUGGCCAACACUGUGAGCCUCUUCCUCCCAACUGGAGAUCUGAAGAAGUGAGCUAUGGAUGUUGCAGUGCUCAGUUGGUGGAUGAGCGGAUGAAGAAGUGAUGGUGUUGAGCUGAGCUGCUUGCUGAAUUUAUAGGCCAGGGGAAGGACGUCUUGACGGUGAACUGUGCUUGUCAUUGAGAAAAGUUGGCAGGGGACAAGGCCAUGGGAUCGGUGCAUGCAGCAUGAUUAAUUUGGAUUUGAUUGCGGUGGGGCCAAAUGUUUGGUGUAUGCUGGAGCCUAUAGUUGCAAUUGUUAGGCAUGGGUCUGCUUUCUUAUCAUUCGCGGCUGCCAUACCGAACCGCGUAGCCAACAAGAGGUGUGUCGGAAACAUGGCUACUGGCAACGUGCGAGGAAUACAACAAUGGGUUCCAGAUUCAGGGACUGAACAAUUUCGGUGAGCACUGAUCAAUUAUAUGCUAUAUAUUGAUGUGCUUCUGUUGAUUGGACUGUCAUCAUAAUGUUCAUUGUUCAUGCACCUGAUCAAUCUAUUCUCUGUGAACAUUCAGCUGAAAA